rnacentral:rRNA from 1 species
AUAAUCAUUUGUCUUUUAAUUGAGGUCUGGUAUGAAUGGUUUGAUGAAAAAUUUACUUUCUUUAUUUUAUAUAAAAAAUUUAAUUUUUGGAUUAAAAAGUCUAGAUUAGUUUAAAGGACGAGAAGACCCUAUAGAACUUAAAUUAUAUAUUUUUAAUUAGAUUUUUUGUAAUUAAAUAUUUAUUAAAUUUUUAUGAUUUUUAUUGGGGUGAUAAAAAAAAAUUUAUAACUUUUUUUAUUUUUAUCAUUUAUUUAUGAGUUUUUGAUCCUUUACUAUGGGUAAAAAGAUUAAGUUACCUUAGGGAUAACAGCGUUAUUAUUUUGGAGAGUUCUUAUUGAUAAGAUAGUUUGCGACCUCGAUGUUGGAUUAAAAUUAGUGUCAGGGGUAGAAUAUUGAUUACUAGGUCUGUUCGACCUAUAAAUUUUUACAUGAUCU